UCAUCCUACUUGACUUGAUCAUUCUAAUUAUAUUUGAAGAAGAGUACAAGUUUUGAAGCUCCUCAUUAUGCAGUAGUCAUUAACCCAUACUGAGAAAUACUCCUCUUAUUAAAAUGAAAACAGGUCCUGUAUGCACCAAAUAAUUUGGCAGAAACCAUAUUGCUUCAUUGCAAUGGAUCUGAUUUGUCUCACUUAGAGACAGCCCAGCAUUUUAGAGGAACAUAUCACCUCCAUCUUCAGGGUCAGUGUGUAAGCUAAGCAUAAAACCAGUAGAAGCAGGGAGCAAGCAAAGUUUGCUUGCCGCCUAAUUCUUGGUUUCUUGCUUGCUUAUGCACUGACACUGAAAAGGGGGGCAAUGUUCCUCUAAAAUGUUGGGCUCCCUCCAAACUACAUGGCAUUACAACACAAAAGACUGUACACAUGUCUUCAUCUUGUAACCGAUCAUUACCUACGGGCACCAUUCUUAAAUAUUACCAACUAUAAUAUAAAUUUUUAAUUUUUAUUAAUACUUAGGACUUAAUACCAUUUUUGUACUAAAGGUGACUUAUACUCAGUUUUGCAGUAAGUAUUCUGAGAAUUGGUAACAAGGAAAUGUUUAGAUAAGGACUACUGCAACUCGAGACAAUCCCAUGAUAGAAAGAAAGGUAUAUGUAUCAGUUACUCCCCCUCCAACCAGGCAAACUAAAGAAACUUCCAGAACACUCUCAAACUGUAGAGUGGUGUGGAAGCUUGAAGAAAAAUCUCUUAUGCUGAAGGUUCUUGAAGUAUUAUGUCAUACAAGAGUAUUUAGAGGCUGAUUUCAGAUGGUGCUGAUCAUGGUAUUCAUUGCAGUGUUGGGUGUUGUGUAUUACUGACUAUUGCUGGCUGGUAGUGAACAGUGCAGUUAUGUAUCAGAGUAGUUGUAUCAGCAUAAACAAACUGAUUUGUGUAAUAUCGUGUAGUGCUGUUAACGAUAAAUUAAGUUCAUCAUUUUCACGA